rnacentral:tRNA from 1 species
GCCCCCUUGGCGAAAUUGGUAUACGCAGCAGACUUAAAAUCUGUAGGUCGAAAGACCGUGCCGGUUCAAGUCCGGCAGGGGGCACCA